AUGGAAGUAUUUGACCUUAUUUAGUUUAUUCAGGUUUUAAGAGUUUAAGAUCUUCUACAUCCUUUGAGUCAUGAAAUUUGUUCUUCUGUCUAAAUUGAAUAAUUCCUUACAAAAGAAAGCAUAUUUAGGUAUAGAAUUAGAUAUAUAUGUAUGCAAUAAUAAUAAUAAUAAUAAUAAAAUACUCUGCUGAUCACUCAAUUUUACACCACCAAGGGGCAUAGCUUAGCGGUUUGACGCUAUGCUAGCUUAACCAGAGGUCUCCAAUUUGAGCCUUGGGAAAGCAGCUGCCUUUGGUAGGGAGAGCUUACUCCUUAGUGGACCAAUUUGGCUCAAAGAAUAAAAUGUUGAUGAUGAGUAAAGCUAGUAAAAAAAAUACUCUUCUAAUCACUCAAUUUUACACCACUAAAGGGCAUAGCUUAGCAGCUCGACACUAUACUGCCUAACUAAAGGUCUCAUUUUGAGCCCUGUGAACUCAGUUGCAUUUGGUAGGGAGGGUUUACUCCUUAGUGGACCGAUGUAGUUCCAAAAAUAAAAUGUUGAUUAUGAGUAGAGCUAGUGGCCAUUCAGAUGUGUGAUCAAUUGAGUAACCGGGGCUGGCAUCACCAAUGUUUGCUCUCGCGUAAAAAAGUCGAUUGACAUUAUGAACAACUAAUAAGGUGCUUUAAAAAAAAUUAAAAAAUAAAGUUGUAUGUAUGCCUACUCCUUUGUCAACUGAGCUUGAGUAUGUUUUGGAUUAUAAAGUUUGGAUACUACGAAUGAUUGAACAACUCAUAGAAUGUUUUGAAUACUUAAUUUAUAAGAAUAAGAUCAAACUGGAUGGGGUCUAUCUUCUAAAGUUAUUGAAUUAUCUUAUAUAGAUGAUUGUGCCUUUUUACAUAUUAUUUUGUGUUAUCUUAAGGUAAUAUAGUUUUGAUGAGGAGGAUUUCAUUAAUGUUUUUGCUGUGGAAUGGAUUUAAGAUUGCUUGAGGACAAAUAAAAACUCAAGUGUGGGGGAGUUGAUAUAAUU
rnacentral:lncRNA from 1 species